GUGAACGCUGGCGGUAGGCCUAACACCUGCCAGUCGAACGGCAGCACAGUAAGAGCUUGCUCUUACGGGUGGCGAGUGGCGGACGGGUGAGGAAUACAUCGGAAUCUACUUUUUCGUGGGGGAUAACGUAGGGAAACUUACGCUAAUACCGCAUACGACCUACGGGUGAAAGCAGGGGAUCUUCGGACCUUGCGCGAUUGAAUGAGCCGAUGUCGGAUUAGCUAGUUGGCGGGGUAAAGGCCCACCAAGGCGACGAUCCGUAGCUGGGCUGAGAGGAUGAUCAGCCACACUGGAACUGAGACACGGUCCAGACUCCUACGGGAGGCAGCAGUGGGGAAUAUUGGACAAUGGGCGCAAGCCUGAUCCAGCCAUACCGCGUGGGUGAAGAAGGCCUUCGGGUUGUAAAGCCCUUUUGUUGGGAAAGAAAAGCAGCAGGUUAAUACCCCGCUGUUCUGACGGUACCCAAAGAAUAAGCACCGGCUAACUUCGUG
rnacentral:rRNA from 1 species